GUGAUCUAGCCAUGGGCAGGUUGAAGGUUGAGUAACAUCAACUGGAGGACCGAACCGACUAAUGUUGAAAAAUUAGCGGAUGACUUGUGGCUAGGGGUGAAAGGCCAAUCAAACUCGGAGAUAGCUGGUUCUCCCCGAAAGCUAUUUAGGUAGCGCCUCGGACGAAUACUACUGGGGGUAGAGCACUGUUAAGGCUAGGGGGUCAUCCCGACUUACCAACCCUUUGCAAACUCCGAAUACCAGUAAGUACUAUCCGGGAGACACACGGCGGGUGCUAACGUCCGUCGUGGAGAGGGAAACAACCCAGACCGCCAGCUAAGGUCCCAAAGUAUUGCUAAGUGGGAAACGAUGUGGGAAGGCUCAGACAGCUAGGAUGUUGGCUUAGAAGCAGCCAUCAUUUAAAGAAAGCGUAAUAGCUCACUAGUCGAGUCGGCCUGCGCGGAAGAUGUAACGGGGCUAAGCA
rnacentral:rRNA from 1 species